GAGAUGGAUUCGUGCUCGAAAGAGAACCUGCACACAGGUGCUGCAUGGCUGUCGUCAGCUCGUGUCGUGAGAUGUUGGGUUAAGUCCCGCAACGAGCGCAACCCUUGCCAUCAGUUGCUACGAAAGGGCACUCUGAUGGGACUGCCGGUGACAAACCGGAGGAAGGUGGGGAUGACGUCAAGUCCUCAUGGCCCUUAUAGGUGGGGCUACACACGUCAUACAAUGGCCGGUACAAAGGGCAGCAAACCCGCGAGGGGGGAGCCAAUCCAUCAAAGCCGGUCGUAGUCCGGAUCGCAGUCUGCAACUCGACUGCGUGAAGUCGGAAUCGCUAGUAAUCGUGGAUCAGCAUGUCACGGUGAAUACGUUCCCGGGUCUU
rnacentral:rRNA from 1 species